UUGCACCACAGUUGCUCAGUCCACCUCUCUUUUGUGGAGAAACUCAGCACUGAGAGAGAGAGAGAGAGAACUGGACCAGAGCAACUGGAUUAGUCCGGACUCACUGGACUGGACUGGAUUUACUCGACCGGGCUCACUUUUGUGACUGUUUAGUUUUACUUUUUUUGUGCAGCUCCAGUAAUGUGACUCAAACCUGGAGCUUCACAGUUGCAGCAGUCGCACAGACUUGCGUCCAGUUUUCUCUGGUGGAGAAACACGGCGCUAAGGAAGAACCGGACUGGAAUAACUGAAACGGACUGGACUCGCUGGCUUGGACUGACUCUGCAGUAAAGUGUGUCAAAGCUGGAGCUUCACAGUUGCUCAGACUUGUUCACAACUCUGUCCAGCAGCUACGAGGAGCUAAACAUGUGCUGGGGAAUGGCCUUCACACCGGUCAUCUUACGCAGUACCAGUUUAGUUGAGGUGAAGGUGGGGGUCACUUAUCUGCGAGGUCAGAAUGUCAUGUCUGGUUUGUUUGAAGUCUCCGCUGCGUCUUUCUGAGCUGCAGACGCAGGUCUGGACUGUUGAUGUGAGUGUCUGAGAGAGAGAGUGGGAGAUCUCGGGGGGCCAUGGUGUGAGGGUCCAUCUGACUGAUUUACGCUCCUCAGACCGAGGGGAGUAUUUCUGGACCGUUACCUCGGUGGUCUACACCGCUGUCUGAGUGGGCUGCGUGUAUGACUGUACUGGUGUUAAAUCUGCUGCUAUGUGAGCUGUGGCUGUGUCGUCAGAUAGGCUGCACCCGCAGUGUCUGACUGUUUCUGACUGGUUGAAACAUCAGUCUGUAAAUAUUACAACUAUUUCACAUUGUUAUUUUACUGUUUUUAACGACUGACAAAACAUAUUUAUUGUAAGUGAUAUUGUACUCACUGAAAAAGUACCAGUGCUGAUUCUGAUUAUGACCAGUGUGUAAUCAUCACUGUGCACAUAAAUGUAAUCAGUUAUUAAUUAAGCCAGGUAUAGAUCGGUCAUUAGUUUAGGUCAGUAAUUAGUAUAUUUCAGUCAUUAGUCUAGGUCAGCUAUUAGUAUAGGCCAUUUUUAGUCUAGAUGAGUUACUAGUAUAAGUCAGUUUUUAGUCUGGGUCAGUUAUUAGUAUAGGUCAGUCAUUGAUCUAUGUCAGUUAUUAACAGAAGUCAGUUAUUAGUCUAGGUCAGCUAUUAGUAUAAGUCAGUUUUUAGUCUAGGUCAGUUAUUAGUCUAGGUCAGCUAUUAGUAUAGGCCAUUUUUAGUCUAGAUGAGUUAUAAGUCAGUUUUUAGUCUGGGUCAGUUAUUAGUAUAGGUCAGUCACUGGUCUAGGUCAGUCAUUAGUCUAGGUCAGUUAUUAACAGAAGUCAGUUAUUAGUCUAGAACAGCUAUUAGUAUAAGUCAGUUUUUAGCCUAGGUCAGUUAUUGGUCUAGGCCAGAUAUUAGUUUAGGUCAGCGAUUAGUAUAGGCCAUUUUUAGUCUAGAUGAGUUAUUAGUAUAAGUCAGUGCAUAGUACAAGUUAGUAAGUAGUAUAGGUCAAUAAUUAGUCUGGGCCAGUUAUUGGUAUAGGUCAGUUAUUAGUCUAGAUCAGCUAUUAGUAUAAGUCAGUUAUUAGUCUAGGUCAGUUAUUAGUCUAAGCAAGUUAUAAGUCUUAGUCUAUUAUUAGUUUAGGUCAGUUAUUAGUCUAAGUAAGUUAUAAGUCUUAGUCUGUUAUUAGUCUAGGUCAGUUAUUAGUCUAAGUAAGUUAUAAGUCUUAGUCUGUUAUUAGUUUAGGUCAGUUAUUAGCACUUUAGCUUUGCCUACUCCAUCCUAAAUAUCCUUCUAAUAGAGAGAGAGAGCGAGAGAGAGAGAGAGAGAGAGAGAGAAAGAGGAGAAAG